CCAGCCAGCCUACAGGACAUAUGUCCACUAGGUGGCAUAAUACUACCAGAAAGGCCAAUUAAAAGAAAACACACACGUGAUCAAACUUAAAAUAUGUAGGUCAUGUUUGUUUUGAGACAGGGCCUUGUUGCACAGGCUGGCCUGGACCCCACUGCGUAAUUGCUGCUGGUCCUGAGUGCCUGGCCCUGCCUCUACACCACACGGAGACGACAACCAUGAAACCUCCCAUCAGGUUUCAGACUACAGCAUAUGAAGACGGGCACACUAGUGGGAAACAGCAAAGUCUGUUUCUGUCAAGGACAAAACUACAGCAAAUCUAGCUGUGUUACUGUCUGGCUUCACGUGUGCUUCAUUUACUGAACAUUUUUAAACUAAACAGCAAACUAUGCAUUGAGCACUAACAUAUCUGUUUUCACUUAAUUAUCCCAAAUUCUGUGACGUGUUUUCUCGCCCUGGUGUUAACACGGCUGAAGCUGCACCUGAGUGGAGAAUGGAAGACGUGCUAGCCACAGCAGGCCCGACUUUGUUGUGAAACACAAACUGGUGAGAUAUGGAAAGAGUGGCUAACACAGCAAGAAAAUCUGAGGUGAGAAGAGCAAAACUCUCUAAAAUAGCCUCCAAGUGUCUGUUCUUGGGUGUGCUAUGAUGAGUAAACAUCUCAGCUGUGACUCAACUUCCCCCGGCUUGUGUGCCGGGGUUAAACAAGGAGGAAGAGGCAGGUGGAUCUCUGGAGUUCCAGGACAGCCAUGGCUACACAGAGAAACCUGCCUGAGAAACAGAAGGGAGAGAAGGAGGAAGAUCAAGGUGACCAACUCCCCAGGGCAUGUGCACUUGCACACACUAAAUCUCAUAAAACUUAAAAUGAAACUCUUUGUCACGUAUGUACUGGAACUCCAGUACUUGAAAACAGAGAAGCACCUAGAAGGUAAUCUUGACUUCCAACGCAGUUGAGUCUAUCCUAGGCAGCACCACAAACCCUGUCUCAACACAAGUAUGAAAGCUAAUUCUACUGGCAGUGACAAAUAACCACCAGGCAUAUAAACAUAAAUUAUAUUAGGUACUAUAGUAAGUCUUGCUGGAACUCAAUGACUGAUGUGAUUCAACAGAGGAAUGGUUGAGUACAUGUACACACCAACACACUCACUU